AUGGAGAGAAAGCUCAGGUAUCACGAGCAGAAGCUCCUCAAGAAGGUUAACUUCUUGGAGUAUAAGAAGGAGAGAAAUGCGGUUGAAGCGAUGAUCUUAAGCCGAUACAUGGUUCAAAAGCGUGAGGACUACGUCGCGUACGUGUGUUUUGUGCGUUUAUGAUCUUCCGGACAUCACUUUGCGGUCCGAGGGAUGUAAGGUGAUACGUACGGUCGAUCAAGAGAGGUACAAUAAAAUUGUAUUGAUGAUAAAGAGGUUGGCAAUGAUGUUGAGCAAGUUGAAUCCAAGAGAUCCGUAUCGUGAAAAAAUGGAGAGUUUGUUGUUACAGAAGCUGUACGUUUUGCACAGUGUGAGGACUUUGAAGAACGAAAUUUUCAGUACUUCUAACAUUUUUUGAAAAAAAUAAAGGUAUGACAUGGAAUGAUACCGUUGAAGAAGUCGUUGGCACAAUGUGCCAAGUUGACGGCAACGAGUUUAUGUCGACGGAGGCUUCCGGUCGUAUUAUGUCGGUUGAAAUUUUGCGAGUAUUUAAAGGAAGCUGUCACGUUCGUGCAGCAGGGACACAUUCGCGUUGGUCCAGACGUGAUCACAGAUCCUGCCUUUUUGGUGACAAGACAGAUGGAGGAUUUCGUGACGUGGGCAGACAGGAGCAAGAUUCGCCAGAAGAUGCUGGCGUACAACGAAAAGUUGGAUGACUACGAUUUUCUUUAACGGCUCUUCAUACAUUAUGCCUUUUUUUUU